GAUGAACGCUAGCGGCAGGCUUAACACAUGCAAGUCGAGGGGUAUGCUUCUUCGGAAGCAGAGACCGGCGCACGGGUGCGUAACGCGUAUGCAAUCUACCUUUUACAGAGGGAUAGCCCAGAGAAAUUUGGAUUAAUACCUCAUAGUAUUAUAGAAUGGCAUCAUUUUAUAAUUAAAGUCACAACGGUAAAAGAUGAGCAUGCGUCCCAUUAGCUAGNGGUAAGGUAACGGCUUACCAAGGCUACGAUGGGUAGGGGUCCUGAGAGGGAGAUCCCCCACACUGGUACUGAGACACGGACCAGACUCCUACGGGAGGCAGCAGUGAGGAAUAUUGGACAAUGGGCGCAAGCCUGAUCCAGCCAUGCCGCGUGCAGGAUGACGGUCCUAUGGAUUGUAAACUGCUUUUAUACGAGAAGAAACACUCCUUCGUGAAGGAGCUUGACGGUAUCGUAAGAAUAAGGAUCGGCUAACUCCGUGCC
rnacentral:rRNA from 1 species